rnacentral:rRNA from 1 species
AUGGAGUAUAGGGUUAGGACUAGAAACCUAUGUGAAGGAAUUGGGGAAAAAGUUGUUCAUGCUGCUGUUUCUGGGCGUUUCAGAUCUGGAAAACCAGCAAUUUCGAGUUUCUUUAUGGCAAAAUUAGGUGGGGGUCAUGUGGAAUGUUUUGUAGGUAUUGUUCCCAUGAUCGUUUUGAGUGGUCAUUCACUCAAUUUGGUUCAGCCGUUUAGCCGGGGCGAUAAAAACAAGUUGCUGCUCUGUUUCUGCAAAACAACAUUUCUAUGGUUUUUGCCCAUAGCUUUUCAGGAUCUUCGAGGCUGA